GAUGAACGCUGGCGGCGUGCCUAAUACAUGCAAGUCGAGCGAACAGAUAAGGAGCUUGCUCCUUUGACGUUAGCGGCGGACGGGUGAGUAACACGUGGGUAACCUACCUAUAAGACUGGAAUAACUCCGGGAAACCGGGGCUAAUGCAGGAUAACAUGUUGAACCGCAUGGUUCUACAGUGAAAGGCGGCUUUGCUGUCACUUAUCGAUGGACCCGCGCCGUAUUAGCUAGUUGGGGAGGUAACGGCUCACCAAGGCAACGAUACGUAGCCGACCGGAGAGGGUGAUAGGCCACAUGGGAACGGAGACACGGACCAGACUCCUACGGGAGGCAGCAGUAGGGAAUCUUCCGCAAUGGGCGAAAGCCUGACGGAGCAACGCCGCGUGAGUGAUGAAGGUCUUCGGAUCGUAAAACUCUGUUAUUAGGGAAGAACAAAUGCGGAAGUAACCGUGCGCGUCUUGACGGUACCUAAUCAGAAAGCCACGGCUAACUACGUG
rnacentral:rRNA from 1 species